GAAUAUUGGACAAUGGGCGAAAGCCUGAUCCAGCCAUGCCGCGUGUGUGAAGAAGGUCUUCGGAUUGUAAAGCACUUUAAGUUGGGAGGAAGGGUUGUAGAUUAAUACUCUGCAAUUUUGACGUUACCGACAGAAUAAGCACCGGCUAACUUCGUGCCAGCAGCCGCGGUAAGACGAAGGGUGCAAGCGUUAAUCGGAGUUACUGGGCGUAAAGCGCGCGUAGGUGGUUUGUUAAGUUGGAAGUGAAAGCCCCGGGCUCAACCUGGGAACUGCUUUCAAAACUGGCAAGCUAGAAUAUGGCAGAGGGUGGUGGAAUUUCCUGUGUAGCGGUGAAAUGCGUAGAGAUCUGGAGGAAUACCGAUGGCGAAGGCAGCCUUCUGGCAUCAUACUGACACUGAGGUUCGAAAGCGUGGGUAGCAAACAGG
rnacentral:rRNA from 1 species